AAGACUAUACUUUCAGGGAUCAUUUCUAUAGUAUGUUACAGUUGAAUUGCCAAAACUUGUUCACUGAAACAUU
rnacentral:snoRNA from 1 species